CCUACGGGAGGCAGCAGUAGGGAAUCUUCCACAAUGGGCGAAAGCCUGAUGGAGCAACGCCGCGUGGGUGAAGAAGGUCUUCGGAUCGUAAAACCCUGUUGUUAGAGAAGAAAGUGCGUGAGAGUAACUGUUCACGUUUCGACGGUAUCUAACCAGAAAGCCACGGCUAACUACGUGCCAGCAGCCGCGGUAAUACGUAGGUGGCAAGCGUUAUCCGGAUUUAUUGGGCGUAAAGGGAACGCAGGUGGUCUUUUAAGUCUGAUGUGAAAGCCUUCGGCUUAACCGGAGUAGUGCAUUGGAAACUGGGAGACUGGAGUGCAGAAGAGGAGAGUGGAACGCCAUGUGUAGCGGUGAAAUGCGUAGAUAGAUGGAAGAACACCAGGGGCGAAGGCGGCUCUCUGGUCUGUAACUGACGCUGAGGUUCGAAAGCGUGGGUAGCAAACAGGAUUAGAUACCCGAGUAGUC
rnacentral:rRNA from 1 species